UUGCUUUUCUGAAUCUAGUGGCGAACGGGUGAGUAACACGUAGGUAACCUGCCCAUGUGCCCGGGAUAACUUCUGGAAACGGAUGCUAAAACCGGAUAGGUAGCAGACAAGCAUUUGACUGCUAUUAAAGUGGCUUUGGCCAUGAACAUGGAUGGACCUGCGGUGCAUUAGCUGGUUGGUGAGGUAACGGCCCACCAAGGCGACGAUGCAUAGCCGGCCUGAGAGGUUGAACGGCCACAUUGGGACUGAGAUACGGCCCAGACUCC
rnacentral:rRNA from 1 species